UCCAGGGAUGCAAAUCAAACGUCGAUCGAAUCAUUCAGGACGAGUCCACAAAUUAGACAGCAAAGAUACUAUAGAAAGCGGCAAAUGUAAAGCGACCAUUUAAAAGAGGAGAGGGACAGUUGGCGAUAUCAGUGGUCAGGACAAUUCUGGAGUUUAUGGUUAAGAAAGUCGCAACAGGGCACAAAACACAACAAUGGGAUGAAAGGAAGUCACCCGUUGGACAAGUCUGUUUUUUCUGAGGUCGCAGUUGGCAGCAAAGAUCUUUGGUUGGCAGCAGACUGGAUAAAGGUGAACCAGGGCCUGCAGAUACUGGAAUCUGGAGCAAAAAUAGAUGACUGAAUUUAGGCACCAUACAAGAAGCUAGUAGAUAACGUAGUUUGGAGGGCAUGGAUUGAGGAUUCGUUAACAGAUAGAAAACAGAUCCUAGGAAUAAAAAGAAACAAAGUGAACCAUCCAGCCCAUCUUUAGAUGUGCAAAGACCCAUGACCUUCAACCCUGAAUGACAGCUGCCUAGAUGUGGUAGCAUAAAUGAUUCAAAAAAUGCACAACUGCAGGAAGGACCUACAGAAUGAAGUCUACAAGCCCUCCAGGGAGCAGAUGACAUAAAUCAGGCCCAGUUAUGCACGGAAUACUGAUAAAAUGCUGCAGUGAGUAUGUGAUCCUGUGAUUUUCUUUUAUAAAGAUUUUUCUCACACUUUCCACUCUUUCUAUUUCUUUCUUUCUCAAGCCAUUCGUCUUUUAUUAAAUGUGACUGAAGGAAAAUAAAGGUACAGCUUCAUAAAUUACAACGAUGAUCCCUUUUUAUUUUGUCUCUGCACCGCUCCAGAAUCCCAGGGCUGCAGUCCCACCAGAGCCAGCUAUCACCGAUGCCUCAACAACAUCCCAUUCUUUCUUUCUCAGUCCAGACUAUGGGCAAUACGAGGCUGGUGAUUAUAAGUGCAUUGCAGUUCCUUUUCCUGCCUAAUCCAAGGAUCACCCAAGCGAACUCUAUAACAAAUGAAUUGCAUUUAUGCGGCAUUUUUUUUACUGUUGUUGCAUCUAAGGAGAGGUUAUCAAAACUGAAUUUGACACUUGUGUCAUUGCAGGAAAUAUUUAGACAGAGGACCAAGAACUUGAACAGAAAAGCACACAUUAAAAACGGAAAAUACGGCAGAGAGGAUUAGGAAGGGAUGGCAUGGCUGCCAGUAAUGGAGCAACAUAAAUGGUACGCAAAGGAGGCCAGAUGUGGAGAAGCACAGAGAUUUUGAAGUUUAAAGGUGAUGACAAAAGGAGAAUAAGGUGAGAAAAAGAUAAGAAUUGUGAACUCAGGGCAUAGUUUAACCAGGAGCCAAUGCAGGCCUACAAACAUGGGUUAUGUGUAGGAAGUAACUGCAGAUGCUGGUUUAUACCAAAGAUAGACACAAAGUACUAGAGUAACUCAUCGGGUUAAGCAUCAUCUCUGGAGAAAAGGAAUA